rnacentral:rRNA from 1 species
GACCAGACUCCUACGGGAGGCAGCAGUGGGGAAUAUUGCACAAUGGGGGAAACCCUGAUGCAGCGACGCCGCGUGAGCGAUGAAGUAUUUCGGUAUGUAAAGCUCUAUCAGCAGGGAAGAAGAUGACGGUACCUGACUAAGAAGCCCCGGCUAACUACGUGCCAGCAGCCGCGGUAAUACGUAGGGGGCAAGCGUUAUCCGGAUUUACUGGGUGUAAAGGGAGCGUAGACGGCGAUGCAAGCCAGAUGUGAAAGCCCGGGGCUCAACCCCGGGACUGCAUUUGGAACUGUGUGGCUGGAGUGUCGGAGAGGCAGGCGGAAUUCCUAGUGUAGCGGUGAAAUGCGUAGAUAUUAGGAGGAACACCAGUGGCGAAGGCGGCCUGCUGGACGAUGACUGACGUUGAGGCUCGAAAGCGUGGGGAGCAAACAGGAUUAGAUACCCCAGUAG